rnacentral:lncRNA from 1 species
CAAAUACUCACAUUUUUCAGAUAGAUUAGAUUUCAUGCAGUGUUUGCUUUAUGUUGUUUAUUUAUUAAUAUACUUAUGUUAUAUUCCAAGGUAGGUGACGUGGAUAUGUGGAAGAUACCGGUCAAGCAGUGAUGCAUAGCAACUGCUUGAAGGACAUCAUAUGAAAUUUGGUAUCCUAACACUAGGGAGAAAUCUGAAGAAAGAGGAAUGACCUUGUAAAUUGUUGACUCUCUUGUGGCAAGCAUGUAGAGCUUCCUGCAGGAGGAAGUAGAUGGAUGCUCCUGGGAGGUGAUGCGAAGUUUGCGAGUCUGUUUUCCAUGAAGAAUCUCACUUAAGGUAUUGGAAGAAUCUUAUUAAAGGCAGUUGUGACAGGGAGCAGAGAAGGACAGAGAGCAAGAAUGUUCAGAAGUUCAGAACUGAAUCUGUGAAUUAGUGUUUUUAUGGACCUUCCUAAGGGGAGCCAAAAAGGCAGUCUUCAUCACUUCAUGAACUAUGUUUGAAAGGACUCCUUAAAAGCAAAAUAUAGUUUAAUCUUAGUAUCAACACGAGGCCAAUAAAGCACAGAAA